AUUGAACGCUGGCGGCAGGCCUAACACAUGCAAGUCGAGCGGAUGAAGGGAGCUUGCUCCUGGAUUCAGCGGCGGACGGGUGAGUAAUGCCUAGGAAUCUGCCUGGUAGUGGGGGAUAACGUCCGGAAACGGGCGCUAAUACCGCAUACGUCCUGAGGGAGAAAGUGGGGGAUCUUCGGACCUCACGCUAUCAGAUGAGCCUAGGGCGGAUUAGCUAGUUGGUGGGGUAAAGGCCUACCAAGGCGACGAUCCGUAACUGGUCUGAGAGGAUGAUCAGUCACACUGGAACUGAGACACGGUCCAGAGUCCUACGGGAGGCAGCAGUGGGGAAUAUUGGACAAUGGGCGAAAGCCUGAUCCAGCCAGGCCGCGUGUGUGAAGAAGGUCUUCGGAUUGUAAAGCACUUUAAGUUGGGAGGAAGGGCAGUAAGUUAAUACCUUGCUGUUUUGACGUUACCAACAGAAUAAGCACCGGCUAACUUCGUG
rnacentral:rRNA from 1 species